rnacentral:rRNA from 1 species
GGCAGGCCUAACACAUGCAAGUCGAGCGCACCCCUUCGGGGCGAGCGGCGGACGGGUUAGUAACGCGUGGGAACAUACCCUUUUCUACGGAAUAGCCUCGGGAAACUGAGAGUAAUACCGUAUAAGCCCUUCGGGGGAAAGAUUUAUCGGGAAAGGAUUGGCCCGCGUUAGAUUAGAUAGUUGGUGGGGUAAUGGCCUACCAAGUCUACGAUCUAUAGCUGGUUUUAGAGGAUGAUCAGCAACACUGGGACUGAGACACGGCCCAGACUCCUACGGGAGGCAGCAGUGGGGAAUCUUAGACAAUGGGCGCAAGCCUGAUCUAGCCAUGCCGCGUGUGUGAUGAAGGCCUUAGGGUCGUAAAGCACUUUCGCCAGAGAUGAUAAUGACAGUAUCUGGUAAAGAAACCCCGGCUAACUCCGUGCCAGCAGCCGCGGUAAUACGGAGGGGGUUAGCGUUGUUCGGAAUUACUGGGCGUAAAGCGUACGUAGGCGGAUCAGAAAGUAUAGGGUGAAAUCCCGAGGCUCAACCUCGGAACUGCCUUGUAAACUCCUGGUCUUGAGUUCGAGAGAGGUGAGUGGAAUUCCAAGUGUAGAGGUGAAAUUCGUAGAUAUUUGGAGGAACACCAGUGGCGAAGGCGGCUCACUGGCUCGAUACUGACGCUGAGGUACGAAAGUGUGGGGAGCAAACAGGAUUAGAUACCCUGGUAGUCCACACCGUAAACGAUGAAUGCCAGUCGUCGGGCAGUAUACUGUUCGGUGACACACCUAACGGAUUAAGCAUC